GAUUUAUUUAUGGUAAAUGCUAUAUAAUGUUUAUAUGAACUAUGGAUUAGAUACUAAGGGUGUACAUAGGGUCGGGUGAAAUUGGAUUUGUCUUGGUCCGUACCCAACCCUAAAUAAUGACUGAGUAUAUUUUGCGACCCUUAUCCGACCCUAGACCCGAUAAAAUCACAUUACUUAUGGGGACACCAAAUAUUACUAGAAAAAUGUUGAGUACCAUUGGAUUUACCGUCGGAUUAAUCAAACAAAUCCACUAUUAAAUAGAUUACUGAUAGCACGAAUCCCCACACUUUCAUAGAGCUGUACCAUAAAGUGC
rnacentral:lncRNA from 1 species